CUAACAAGCAAUGAUCCUUAGGCC
rnacentral:siRNA from 1 species